AGCUGGUGCUAUGUUUGAAUCUGAACGCAGUGUAAGAUGACUUAUGAGACAUUUGCAAGGCAUAAUGUGUAACUACAUGUAUUUGAGAACCUGUGUUGAAACCAAACCAACCUUCUAUUGAGCCAGGAAGAUGUUUAGAACCAAAAAAGUUCGAGGACGGUCCCUAGAAAUAAAAGUAGAAUUCAAGCCUCAUGCAAAGACAAAGAAAGUAGGCUUUCAGAUAAGAUCAGGAGAGAAAGAAGAAACGAUUGUUUGUUACGAUCACUUUAAAAAGGCCGUGUACAUUGACAGAGCUAAAAGUGGCAUUAUUCAUAAGAAAAUGAGUCUGGUAGACUCCGCUAAUGUCGUCCUUCAAAAUGGCACAUUGAAACUGUGGAUAUUUCUAGACUGGUCCUCCGUUGAAGUCUUCGUAAAUGACGGACGGCAGGUGAUCACGAAUCUUAUUUUUUCUCAAAAAGAUAGCAGUGAUGAAGUAGACAUAUUUUGUUUAGGUCAUGAAGCCGAGGUGGUGAGCCUGAAGAUAUAUGAAUUAAAUAGUACGUGGGAGAAAUACUGGAACAACAACACAUGGGAUGGUCUUACUGACAUCUUGAAGAAAGUUAAGAUGAAUAAUAUUGAAACCCAUACUAAUUUAACAGAACUCAGUGCCAGUAAUUACUUGUGGAUUUUCAUAAGCGUAUUAAUUGUCUGUUACGGGCUCUUGCUAAACCUGCUGUGCAGAUCAUUUUCCAGAUAUUUCUGAUGAAAAAAAUAAUGCAGAUGGUGUAUCAUAAUAAAACAGACUGUGUCAUGGAUGUUCUUAAAGGCCAAUAUGACGGAGAAAAGCGUUUCAAAAUCGGAGACUAAGUUACGUUUUCAAACGGUUCAAAUCACAUCUUUCACCCUCGAGAGCAAACAUGUAGUGGUUACACCGAUGUUGACGGCUGUCGGGCCGGUUGAGGAAGUCCAUGGAGGUCACUCUGACGUCGGGCUCCAUUGGAUCGAAGUCGGCCCGACUUUGGGCCCUGGCGUUGUACUAGCUGGCGUAAUUUAUUGUGUGCAAGCCUUUUCAUUAGCCUGUUUUGUCAAGACGUCAUGUCGACUGCAUAUUAUUUUUAUAAACCCCAGGAAUCUCUUUCUCUACUUGUGACCGUAGUAAACUUCUUGAAAAGUUUAUCCUUGUUUUGCUGCAGUGAAUAACAAUUUUUGUAAGUAUAACGCUCUACAUAUUGAAAAAAGCUUUAUCAAAAUUCGUGAAGAAAUAUUUUCAAGUAAUUCCUCUAGUUUUGUAAUUUGAUUUUCAUUUUUUUUUUCGGGUCAGUCCACCGCCCCUUAGCAUGUCCCACGCCCCUAGGAUGUCGCGGCGCCCGCGCCUAGACUAUAGGAUGUCGCGGCGCCCGCGCCUAGUAAGAUUGAUUAUAAGGUAUUAUUAUAAUGAGACAUUAAGGUACAUA
rnacentral:misc_RNA from 1 species